rnacentral:rRNA from 1 species
UACGUAAGGGGCAAGCGUUAUCCGGAAUCACUGGGCGUAAAGGGUGCGUAGGUGGUCUUGUAAGUCAGAAGUGAAAGGCUAUGGCUCAACCAUAGUAAGCUUUUGAAACUGCAGGACUUGAGUGCAGGAGAGGAAAGUGGAAUUCCUAGUGUAGCGGUGAAAUGCGUAGAUAUUAGGAGGAACACCAGUGGCGAAGGCGACUUUCUGGACUGUUACUGACACUGAGGCACGAAAGCGUGGGGAGCGAACAGG